GAUGAACGCUGGCGGCGUGCCUAAUACAUGCAAGUCGAGCGAACGGACGAGGAGCUUGCUCCUUUGACGUUAGCGGCGGACGGGUGAGUAACACGUAGGUAACCUACCUAUAAGACUGGGAUAACUUCGGGAAACCGGAGCUAAUACCGGAUAAUAUUUCGAACCGCAUGGUUCGAUAGUGAAAGAUGGCUUUGCUAUCACUUAUAGAUGGACCUGCGCCGUAUUAGCUAGUUGGUAAGGUAACGGCUUACCAAGGCAACGAUACGUAGCCGACCUGAGAGGGUGAUCGGCCACACUGGAACUGAGACACGGUCCAGACUCCUACGGGAGGCAGCAGUAGGGAAUCUUCCGCAAUGGGCGAAAGCCUGACGGAGCAACGCCGCGUGAGUGAUGAAGGUCUUCGGAUCGUAAAACUCUGUUAUUAGGGAAGAACGAACGUGUAAGUAACUGUGCACGUCUUGACGGUACCUAAUCAGAAAGCCACGGCUAACUACGUG
rnacentral:rRNA from 1 species